rnacentral:lncRNA from 1 species
AAUAUCCCUCCUUUCUCCGUCUGUGUUCCACUCUCAAACCCUAAAAAUGGCAGCGGCUCCAAUUGAGUCAGUCCAGUGCUUUGGGCGCAAGAAGACUGCUGUGGCUGUCACCUACUGCAAGCGUGGAAGAGGCCUAAUCAAGAUCAAUGGAUGCCCAAUCGAACUAGUGGAGCCUGAGAUCCUCCGUUUCAAGGCUUACGAGCCAAUCCUUCUUCUUGGACGACAUCGUUUUGCCGGUGUCGACAUGCGCAUUCGCGUCAAAGGUGGUGGUCACACCUCGCAGAUCUAUGCUAUCCGUCAAAGUAUCGCUAAAGCUCUUGUCGCCUUCUAUCAGAAGUACGUUGACGAGCAGAGCAAGAAGGAAAUCAAAGAUAUUUUGGUCAGGUAUGAUAGGACUUUGCUUGUAGCUGAUCCCAGGCGAUGCGAGCCAAAGAAGUUCGGUGGUCGUGGUGCUCGCGCCAGGUUCCAGAAGAGUUACCGUUGAAUUCGGUAUUAUGCUUUUUUAUGUUUCUGUUAUUUUCCAAAGUGUUUUGAAUUAUGGAUUUUGCUAUUUGAGGACUAAAAAUGUGAUGGAUUUUUGUUGUUUUUCUCUUAGUACACCCAUUGCCUAGUUUUGUUGUUUGGAUAAUUUAAUGGUUAUAUUAUAGCUAGUUGAUUAAACUCAGUUAUGCUUUUGUCUGAUCAAAGUUAAUAGCUUUAUGGUGUUUAGAGUAUUAAUGGUUUGGUUUAUAUACGGUUUGCUGGGUUUUGAUUCUAAAACAUGAAAUGGCAAGAAUAAAUUUUUUUUAAUGGGUUUUUUCUUACAAUUGAAAAAAAAAAAAAAGAAAGCCAUUCGAGCUUCAUUAGCAUUUUUGGCUCUUUUUUUUUUUUUUUUUUUUUUUUUUAUCAUAAUCUGGAUUAUGAUGCUUAUUGUGUUCCCUCCUCGUAGCUUGGAACUGGAGUAAAUUCUGAAUGUAAGAAGAAUCCUUUAAUUUGGUGAAAUUAUUUUUGUUCAAUUUUGUUAAUAGGCAACACGAGUAAAUUCUCCCUGCUGCUUCAACCUAGGGUUAGAUAGAAAUCCCUUGAUUGAAAAUUAAAACUUUGUAGUACUUGUUUUCCUUGUUUAAAUUGGAAAACAAAGAAAUUGGGAAAACAGGUACCAACAAAACUAUGGGAAAGAGAUGAUGAAACUUUUCUUCAUAUUAUCAUUUUGUAUUCUCAAUAAGUUCUGGCAACAAAUGUUGUUGUAUCUAUGUACAGAUUCUUGAAACUAGGGAUUAUAUAACUAUAAUCAUGGAUUUGGAUUUUACAACUAUAAAUAUAGAACUCCUUGAAGGGACCAGAAUCACGGAUUAGUUCCAUUACAAGAUGUACCUGCAAGUCAUUAAUCAUACAGACACCAUAAAAUUAAAAACUUAUUGAUGUCUGUAACAACUAUGGCAAGAAGAUUAGAAGACCCACAGAUUGAUUGCUUGAAUGAUUUCCAAAGUAUGAGUUUUUUCAGUCAUAAUAAACUUUUGACAGUAUAUUAUAUUGAUAGUUUAACCCUGUACCUUAAUUCCCAAAGAAGGGAAAAGAUCGCAACAAAACUAACAAGCAUGAGUGGUAAAAUACAUAUGGCGAUCGAGCUAUGGCCUCGAGUUAAUCUUGAGGGUGGAGAAAUUUGAUGACAGGAUAUGGAUGGAAUCCAAUUGUACAAAAGCAUACUGAAAAUUAUAUAAUGUGUACAAGAAAACUUUUAUCUUAAAAUACUCAUUUUCUCUAAAGAAGUAUGUGAAAAUACUCGGCAUGAGAGCUGAACUAGGAAUCGUCAGAGUAUGAUAUGUUAUAAUGUAAACAUCAUUAAGAAAACAGCUACUGCUUUACAAAAAAAUAAUUAUGAUUUUUCCAAUGGUAAUGCAUUUCAAUCCUCUGCAAGAAUCCUUUUUCCUUCAGUUUGUGCCGCCCCUUCUCUGAGGGAAAGGUAAUGUGCAGUGAUGAAACCUGGGACUGCAAAAGUCAUGGCACCAUAUUAAUAAGAAUAUUACAUUUUAAAACAGUAAACUAAUUUUGGGUUUUACAGUAAAUGAAACAUAAAUGCUUCAAAAAUGCGAAGUAUAUAAUUUCAAAAUAACAGACUCACUGACAAGUUUUUUUUUGAAAGAAAAUGUAACAAUUAAAGGAACUAGAUGUGGUUAGCGAUCUCAAUCUCCAUAAAGGGUGAGAACACAAGUUCGAACAUCGGGAAGAACACUUUGCUGGGAAAGCUAAAAACCUUUAUAUUCUAUAGCUCAAAGGAUUAUAAACCUCCUUGUUAUACGGGGAAAAAAAAAAAGAACGCUGAAAUAAAUGCACAAAUUCCUUCAACAUUAAACUGUGAGAUGUGUGUUUCUUACAUAAGUCGCUUCAGUGAGAAACAAAUGUUUAAAUAGAAUUAGAAAGAUAGAGAGAGAGAGAGAGAGAGAGAGAGAGAGAGAGAGGAUGCUUUAUGAGAAGAAUAAAUCUUUGCAUUUGAGUUUGCUAGAUAUAACAACAUAGAAUAAAAACAUGAAUGAAAGCAGAGCUGCUAUAAUACGAUUUCACUUCCCUGGAAAUUUGCUAAAUAGAAGGAGAUCUGUUCCUCUCUGGCCUUAUGUUAAGCCCAACACCUUACCAUUUGAAACGGGCCCAACUUGUUUUAUUCUAUUUCAGAGGCCUUUUUCUAAUUAUCUAUAUUUUACCAGCAAAACGCAUCGUUUCUACAAGCCAAAACCCUAAUAGCCGCUGUAUAAAAUACGCUAUCCCUCUUUUUUCCGUCUUACAUUAUAACUAGCUGUCCUUUGUUCCACUCUCAAACCCUAACAAUGGCAGCGGCUCCAAUCGAGUCAGUCCAGUGCUUUGGACGCAAGAAGACCGCUGUGGCUGUCACCUACUGCAAGCGUGGAAGAGGCCUAAUCAAGAUCAAUGGAUGCCCAAUCGAGCUAGUGGAGCCUGAGAUCCUCCGUUUCAAGGCAUAUGAGCCUAUCCUUCUUCUUGGACGACACCGUUUUGCUGGCGUCGACAUGCGCAUUCGCGUCAAAGGUGGUGGUCACAC